UUGGAGGCGGCUACCAGCGCAAAGCCGAAACUCGCCCGCAAACAGGCUCAGGAGGCUGUGAGUCCGCAGCAGCGGACCCUGGGAAAGCAAGCGAGUUGACGCCACAGCAGCCUUUUGAAGAGGAAAAGCGGAGACCCUCAGCUACAGAUCUUCGAAAUUUCUUACAUGACUUCUGAUCUUCACAACUGUGCAAUCCAUUUUCAAAACGGGAAAAAGACUCAGAAAUCAGAAGUUGUUACGUCUAGAGUCGCUUAUUCACCAUAUUUCAUUGUCUUGAUAGCAUCACUAGACCAUGCAUAAUUCAUGCAUGGGUGUGUUUUAGGGACAAAAAAGUCAAGUAGGAAGAAAAGACAGAUGAUCAAGAACAGAUGAAGAUGAAAACCAAAGAACGACCUACCGAAGAAAGUACCAUUUGAGUCUCCAUCCUCAUGCUUCUGCUGCUGUUGCUGCUGCUGUUGCUGCUGCUCCCUCAGCUGCAAGGAUUCCUGACAAACGUAAAUGGUUAGCCUUGGGCGCACCAUCCUAAGGAGGAAAAAAGAAAGCUGUUACUCUUUCAUGAAAGCUCAUCAAUGUAUCACCAAAGCCUAAUGGCUCAUAACAGGGACAACGGAUAUUUAACUGAAUGAAAAAUGGAAUAUCAUGAGGACCUCCUUGGAUCAAGUACAGGAAAAGAUAUUUUUCAUCUUUAUUUGGCACAUAGCUGGCAUUCAAAAAGAAUGUUUCGACAAGAUGUAUUUAGCUGUACAAAAAGUAUUGCGAAGAGUCCCUGAAUCCAAAUCCAUUUGAAAUCCAGCCCCACUGAUAUUUUACCACUAAUUACAUACCGGCCU